UUCUGCAGUCGAACGAACUUCCGUUAAUUGAUUAUGACGUACUUGUACUGAUUGAGAUUUUAACACGAAGUGAGUGGCGAACGGGUGAGUAACACGUGGGUAACUUGCCCAGAAGUAGGGGAUAACACCUGGAAACAGAUGCUAAUACCGUAUAACAGAGAAAACCGCAUGGUUUUCUUUUAAAAGAUGGCUCUGCUAUCACUUCUGGAUGGACCCGCGGCGUAUUAGCUAGUUGGUGAGGUAAAGGCUCACCAAGGCAGUGAUACGUAGCCGACCUGAGAGGGUAAUCGGCCACAUUGGGACUGAGACACGGCCCAGACUCCUACGGGAGGCAGCAGUAGGGAAUCUUCCACAAUGGACGCAAGUCUGAUGGAGCAACGCCGCGUGAGUGAAGAAGGGUUUCGGCUCGUAAAGCUCUGUUGUUAAAGAAGAACGUGGGUAAGAGUAACUGUUUACCCAGUGACGGUAUUUAACCAGAAAGCCACGGCUAACUACGUGCCAGCAGCCGCGGUAAUACGUAGGUGGCAAGCGUUAUCCGGAUUUAUUGGGCGUAAAGCGAGCGCAGGCGGUCUUUUAAGUCUAAUGUGAAAGCCUUCGGCUCAACCGAAGAAGUGCAUUGGAAACUGGGAGACUUGAGUGCAGAAGAGGACAGUGGAACUCCAUGUGUAGCGGUGAAAUGCGUAGAUAUAUGGAAGAACACCAGUGGCGAAGGCGGCUGUCUGGUCUGCAACUGACGCUGAGGCUCGAAAGCAUGGGUAGCGAACAGGAUUAGAUACCCUGGUAGUCCAUGCCGUAAACGAUGAUUACUAAGUGUUGGAGGGUUUCCGCCCUUCAGUGCUGCAGCUAACGCAUUUAAGUAAUCCGCCUGGGGAGUACGACCGCAAGGUUGAAACUCAAAAAAUUGAC
rnacentral:rRNA from 1 species